UGCAGUCGAACGAGAAUCUGCGGAAGAGGAUUCGUCCAAUUGAAGCAGAGGACAGUGGCGGACGGGUGAGUAACGCGUGAGGAACCUGCCUUUCAGAGGGGGACAACAGUUGGAAACGACUGCUAAUACCGCAUGACAUAUAGAUGUCGCAUGGCAUUUAUAUCAAAGAUUUAUCGCUGAAAGAUGGCCUCGCGUCUGAUUAGCUAGUUGGUGAGGUAACGGCCCACCAAGGCGACGAUCAGUAGCCGGACUGAGAGGUUGAACGGCCACAUUGGGACUGAGAUACGGCCCAGACUCCUACGGGAGGCAGCAGUGGGGAAUAUUGGGCAAUGGGCGCAAGCCUGACCCAGCAACGCCGCGUGAAGGAAGAAGGCUUUCGGGUUGUAAACUUCUUUUGUCAGGGACGAGUAGAAGACGGUACCUGACGAAUAAGCCACGGCUAACUACGUGCCAGCAGCCGCGGUAAUACGUAGGUGGCAAGCGUUGUCCGGAUUUACUGGGUGUAAAGGGCGUGUAGCCGGGAGGGCAAGUCAGAUGUGAAAUCCACGGGCUCAACUCGUGAACUGCAUUUGAAACUACUCUUCUUGAGUAUCGGAGAGGCAAUCGGAAUUCCUAGUGUAGCGGUGAAAUGCGUAGAUAUUAGGAGGAACACCAGUGGCGAAGGCGGAUUGCUGGACGACAACUGACGGUGAAGCGCGAAAGCGUG
rnacentral:rRNA from 1 species